rnacentral:rRNA from 1 species
AACGAACGCUGGCGGCAUGCCUAACACAUGCAAGUCGAACGAGACCUUCGGGUCUAGUGGCGCACGGGUGCGUAACGCGUGGGAACCUGCCCUUAGGUUCGGAAUAACUCCCCGAAAGGGGUGCUAAUACCGGAUAAUGUCUUCGGACCAAAGAUUUAUCGCCUUUGGAUGGGCCCGCGUUGGAUUAGCUAGUUGGUAGGGUAAAAGCCUACCAAGGCGACGAUCCAUAGCUGGUCUGAGAGGAUGAUCAGCCACACUGGGACUGAGACACGGCCCAGACUCCUACGGGAGGCAGCAGUGGGGAACAUUGGACAAUGGGCGAAAGCCUGAUCCAGCAAUGCCGCGUGAGUGAUGAAGGCCUUAGGGCUGUAAAGCUCUUUUACCCGGGAUGAUAAUGACAGUACCGGGAGAAUAAGCUCCGGCUAACUCCGUG